AUAAAACCACUUAAUGAGACGGAAACUAGGCAAGGACUUCACCUUUGUUUCCCUAUCCUAAUCAUUCACUAAGUUUAUUGUAAACUAUGUAGUAAAAAAUAACCACAUGCUCUCCAAAAUGUUUGAUGUGUAUAACACAAUUGAAAAAGGUUUCAAGAGAGAUAGUGGGAGUUUAGGGACCAUGACUAUUGUAGUCAAAAGGAGAAGUCAGAUAAAGAAGAUAAAUAACUCCAAGGGAACAAACUUUCUUUAUGAAAUGAUGGAUAUUGGAAGGGGUAUUUGCAAGAAAUGUCUUGCAAGUGUCAAGAACACACCUUUCGAAGGUGUUGUAAAUUGUUCUUGAAUAGUUCCAAACAGUUGGUUCUUCUACUUGAAUGCUUGAUUCCGUAUUAGUAACUAUGUUUUACAAAUCGUUGUAAAAGUGUGACUAAUAAGAAGUAGAAGAUAUAUGAGUGAAGAAAAGGUGCUUCACAUUCGGAAACGUGAAUCAAAUAUAGAUCU
rnacentral:lncRNA from 1 species